rnacentral:rRNA from 1 species
UACGUAGGGGGCAAGCGUUGUCCGGAUUUAUUGGGCGUAAAGAGCGUGUAGGCGGUUUGGUAGGUCCGCUGUGAAAACUCGAGGCUCAACCUCGAGACGCCGGUGGAAACCAUCAGACUAGAGUCCGGAAGAGGAGAGUGGAAUUCCUGGUGUAGCGGUGAAAUGCGUAGAUAUCGGGAAGAACACCGAAGGCGAAAGCACUCUGCUGGGCCGAAACUGACACUGAUAGACGAAAGCUAGGGGAGCAAAUGGG